GAAUAAAGCUGGGGGCGCCGUGGAGCGGCUGAGAGUCCCGGUAAACUAUCGGGACAACCCUUUGAACCUGAUUUGGGUAAUACCAACGUAGGAAAGCGAGCCUGAGCUUAU
rnacentral:ncRNA from 2 species